rnacentral:rRNA from 1 species
UACGGAGGGUGCGAGCGUUAAUCGGAAUGACUGGGCGUAAAGGGCGCGUAGGCGGUUAGGUUUGUUGGAGGUGAAAGACCUGGGCUUAACCUGGGAAUGGCCUCCAAGACGGCCUGGCUAGAGUCUGGGAGAGGGUGAUGGAAUUCCCGGUGUAGCGGUGAAAUGCGUAGAGAUCGGGAGGAACAUCAGUGGCGAAGGCGGUUGCCUGGCCUAAGACUGACGCUGAGGCGCGAAAGCGUGGGGAGCAAACAGG